rnacentral:tRNA from 1 species
GGCUCGGUAGCUUAGUUGGCGAAGCACUUGUCUAGUGAAUAAGGGUGCCGUGAGUUCAAAUCUCACCUGAGCUG